rnacentral:rRNA from 1 species
UACGUAGGAGGCAAGCGUUAUCCGGAUUUAUUGGGCGUAAAGGGAACGCAGGCGGUCUUUUAAGUCUGAUGUGAAAGCCUUCGGCUUAACCGGAGUAGUGCAUUGGAAACUGGGAGACUUGAGUGCAGGAGAGGAGAGUGGAACUCCAUGUGUAGCGGUGAAAUGCGUAGAUAUAUGGAAGAACACCAGUGGCGAAAGCGGCUCUCUGGUCUGUAACUGACGCUGAGGUUCGAAAGCGUGGGUAGCAAACAGG